rnacentral:rRNA from 1 species
GUAGUCCACGCUGUAAACGUUGGGAACUAGGUGUGGGGAGCAUUCCACGUUCUCUGCGCCGCAGCUAACGCAUUAAGUUCCCCGCCUGGGGAGUACGGCCGCAAGGCUAAAACUCAAAGGAAUUGACGGGGGCCCGCACAAGCGGCGGAGCAUGUGGCUUAAUUCGAUGCAACGCGAAGAACCUUACCAAGGCUUGACAUGCGCAGGAAGUCGGUAGAGAUAUCGGUGCCUUUACGGGUCUGCGUGCAGGUGGUGCAUGGUUGUCGUCAGCUCGUGUCGUGAGAUGUUGGGUUAAGUCCCGCAACGAGCGCAACCCUCGUUCUGUGUUGCCAGCGCGUUAUGGCGGGGACUCACAGGAGACUGCCGGGGUCAACUCGGA